GACGAACGCUGGCGGCGUGCCUAAUACAUGCAAGUAGAACGCUGAAGAGAGGAGCUUGCUCUUCUUGGAUGAGUUGCGAACGGGUGAGUAACGCGUAGGUAACCUGCCUUGUAGCGGGGGAUAACUAUUGGAAACGAUAGCUAAUACCGCAUAACAAUGGAUGACACAUGUCAUUUAUUUGAAAGGGGCAGUUGCUCCACUACAAGAUGGACCUGCGUUGUAUUAGCUAGUAGGUGAGGUAAUGGCUCACCUAGGCGACGAUACAUAGCCGACCUGAGAGGGUGAUCGGCCACACUGGGACUGAGACACGGCCCAGACUCCUACGGGAGGCAGCAGUAGGGAAUCUUCGGCAAUGGGGGCAACCCUGACCGAGCAACGCCGCGUGAGUGAAGAAGGUUUUCGGAUCGUAAAGCUCUGUUGUAAGUCAAGAACGGGUGUGAGAGUGGAAAGUUCACACUGUGACGGUAGCUUACCAGAAAGGGACGGCUAACUACGUG
rnacentral:rRNA from 1 species